UAGUCUAUAGAGCUAAAGCUGAAAAGAAUCAAUAAAUUUUUUUACAACUAUGAGCUUUCUACUCCCCCUUUUCCUUGGGGCACUAACACUUAGGGCUAUCUCCCACUCUGAAUGUGACGACCCUCUUACAGACUUUUUUAUAAAGUGGUCGCACUGUUCCUUCUUUACAUUUCCUCCUUUUGGUAAGGAGCUACCCUCAAGCGUACGCUCUUUAGAAAUUACCUAAAGUAAAAUUACUUAUCUCGGCGAAAAAGCAUUUAAAGAGCUUACCACACUAAAUAAUUUAAACUUGGGUAGCAAUGAAACCACUGCUAUUGGCGAAAACUUAUUUAAGGACCUAAAGAACCUUAGAAUCCUG